GCGCCUGAUUAUUUUUACGCCGUCGAGGCUGGCGGUGAAAUCCAGGUCAUCUCCGCCGGAUCACCAGCCAACACGGCUCGGGCUGCUGCUCUCCGCGGACUCAUAGUGCCAUUUCCUGAUUCCACUCUGCAGAGAUGGAAGGGCUCUCAAAGUCCUGAGACGAUCCCUAUGGUUAAUCUCAGAACAGAGGCAUAUGGCAGAGAUGGUCUGAUAGGGUUGGGGUCCCUGGUUGGCAUCCUGUGGUGGGAGACAGAUGGAGUGAGCUUGCGGUCUGAAGGAUGAGGUUGGGCGCAUUGAUUAGCACACUGCUACGCUGAGAAGAGUUUAUCCACCUGGGACGAGCGGCAGCAACUACACAUUCCCUCCCUGAAUCAGCUAUCAAACACCUUCUCUGAAUCAAGUACCUGUCUGGAUCUUUCUUCGCUCGCUCACACACAGCUAUGGCUGGCUGGCUCUGGCUGGGAGGGUAAUCAGUGCUCUGGUUGCCCUGGCAACCCCACCCUGAUUCCUGCUGAAUAGAGCCCUAGUCUGUCACUAAAGACUUUUUAGCCCCCCUCCACCUUUCUUCUUAGUUUAUUUGCCCUUUCGUGAAGGUAGAGGGCAGCGGCCGGAGCAGGAGCCAUGGACUUAUGAGAUGAGAAUGGCAGCACGGUGGCUGUUUGGCCCCCAGGAGCCCUCAGGCAAACAAAGCCAAUAACGUGGGUGCACACACACACUCAUACAGGCCGAGUGGCAGGAGCAGUAUGCAGGAGGCUGACCUACCAGCCACCAAUGCUUUCACAGGUGAGCACCGGAUCAGAAUUAUAACCUCAGUGUUGGAAUU
ensembl:lncRNA